rnacentral:rRNA from 1 species
GACGAACGCUGGCGGCGUGCCUAAUACAUGCAAGUUGAGCGCUGAAGGUUGGUACUUGUACCAACUGGAUGAGCAGCGAACGGGUGAGUAACGCGUGGGGAAUCUGCCUUGAGCGGGGGACAACAUUUGGAAACGAAUGCUAAUACCGCAUAAAAACUUUAAACACAAGUUUUAAGUUUGAAAGAUGCCAUUGCAUCACUCAAAGAUGAUCCCGCGUUGUAUUAGCUAGUUGGUGAGGUAAAGGCUCACCAAGGCGAUGAUACAUAGCCGACCUGAGAGGGUGAUCGGCCACAUUGGGACUGAGACACGGCCCAAACUCCUACGGGAGGCAGCAGUAGGGAAUCUUCGGCAAUGGACGAAAGUCUGACCGAGCAACGCCGCGUGAGUGAAGAAGGUUUUCGGAUCGUAAAACUCUGUUGGUAGAGAAGAACGUUGGUGAGAGUGGAAAGCUCAUCAAGUGACGGUAACUACCCAGAAAGGGACGGCUAACUACGUG